UUGGGAAUAUUGGACAAUGGGCGAAAGCCUGAUCCAGCCACGCCGCGUGAGUGAUGAAGGCCUUCGGGUCGUAAAGCUCUUUUAGUGGGGACGAAGGGCAACUUGACGGUACCCACAGAAAAAGCACCGGCUAACUCCGUGCCAGCAGCCGCGGUAAUACGGAGGGUGCAAGCGUUGCUCGGAAUCAUUGGGCGUAAAGCGCGUGUAGGCUGCUUCCUAAGUCUGGUGUGAAAUCCCGGGGCUUAACCCCGGAACUGCACUGGAUACUGGGAAGCUAGAGGGCAGAAGAGGAUGGUGGAAUUCCUGGUGUAGGGGUGAAAUCCGUAGAUAUCAGGAGGAACAUCGGUGGCGAAGGCGGCCAUCUGGUCUGUGCCUGACGCUGAGACGCGAAAGCGUGGGU
rnacentral:rRNA from 1 species